rnacentral:rRNA from 1 species
AGCAGCCGCGGUAAUUCCAGCUCCAAUAGCGUAUAUUAAAGUUGUUGUGGUUAAAAAGCUCGUAGUUGAACCUUGGGCCUGGCUGGCCGGUCCGCCUCACCGCGUGCACUGGUCCGGCUGGACCUUUCCUUCUGGGGAGCCCUAUGGCCUUUACUGGCUGUAGGGGGAACCAGGACUUUUACUUUGAAAAAAUUAGAGUGUUCAAAGCAGGCCUUUGCUCGGAUACAUUAGCAUGGAAUAAUAGAAUAGGACGUGUGGUUCUAUUUUGUUGGUUUCUAGGACCGCCGUAAUGAUUAAUAGGGAUGGUCGGGGGCGUCAGUAUUCGGCUGUCAGAGGUGAAAUUCUUGGAUUUGCUGAAGACUAACUACUGCGAAAGCAUUCGCCAAGGAUGUUUUCAUUAAUCAGGGAACGAAAGUUAGGGGAUCGAAGACGAUCAGAUACCGUCGUAGUCUUAACCAUAAACUAUGCCGACUAGGGAUCGGACGAUGUUAACUUUUCUUGACUCG